AUUGAACGCUGGCGGCAGGCCUAACACAUGCAAGUCGAACGGUAACAGGAAGAAGCUUGCUUCUUUGCUGACGAGUGGCGGACGGGUGAGUAAUGUCUGGGAAACUGCCUGAUGGAGGGGGAUAACUACUGGAAACGGUAGCUAAUACCGCAUAACGUCGCAAGACCAAAAAGGGGGACCUUCGGGCCUCUUGCCAUCGGAUGUGCCCAGAUGGGAUUAGCUAGUAGGUGGGGUAACGGCUCACCUAGGCGACGAUCCCUAGCUGGUCUGAGAGGAUGACAGGCCACCCUGGAACUGAGACACGGACCAGACUCCUACGGGAGGCAGCAGUGGGGAAUAUUGCACAAUGGGCGCAAGCCUGAUGCAGCCAUGCCGCGUGUAUGAAGAAGGCCUUCGGGUUGUAAAGUACUUUCAGCGGGGAGGAAGGGAGUAAAGUUAAUACCUUUGCUCAUUGACGUUACCCGCAGAAGAAGCACCGGCUAACUCCGUG
rnacentral:rRNA from 1 species